rnacentral:antisense_RNA from 1 species
CGGAGUUCACAUCAGUUUCAGCAAUCCGCGUUCUCAGUUCGCGUUGCCCAGGCGAGUGGGCUCCAUCAUCACCUGAACCAAAAACGCACCAGGGCGCGCCUGCCCAGGCACCAAGGCCGGAGAAACCGCACGUUUCGAGUCCCCAGUUGCUGAGAAACAAUCACAGCCCUCCUGUUUUCUUCCCCUUCUGCAGGUUCCGACCUGAAUCUGAAAGUGCUUCUAAAUCCCAUGCUUCACAGAACGUUCGGAGGGGGAGGCGCUCCGUGGGGGCUGCCCAUGUAGCCGAACUGACUCGAAUAAAAGCGUGUCCACGUCUACA